AUGCCGGCAUGCCCCAUUUCCUACGCGACAAUAAAAUAAGGACAUAAAACCCAAGAGCCUAGAAACACGUCUUAUUCUGCCCAGAUUAUUAGGAUGUCUUAUUUCAUGUAACACUUGUUAGGAAGUUAGUAGUAAUAAAGAUGUUAACUGAAUCUUAGUUCUAUAAUUGUUUAGCCUAUCUUGGGCUAACACAAUAAAACAUUGUUGAAAUCUAUUUCAAAACACAAUGUGUUAUACGCCAGAGGAAGUAGACACAUGAAAUUACCCAGUGGAAGAUGGAGAUGUUAUUCUGGUCGCCACAGACGGAGUAUUUGACAACCUUCCUGACCAGGGAAAGCGAGACCCAGUCAAGAUACAGAAGGUGGCCAACUUCAUCGCGUGGAUGGCUCGCAACUUUAGCGUUUGAAGACAAGUCUCUCAUCAUAUAUCAAGUCUGCAAUGGCCAAUGGAAUACACGCCAUAGAAAAUUAAUUACAACAUAAGGAUGGGAACAAUCAUGUUGUGCCAAAUAAAAAACUUCAAUGAAGAGGUAAAGAGGGAAAAGCAUCAGCGGCGCAACCUUGGAUUGGGUCUACCUUACAGCAAUGUGUAGACCAUUCCUGGCCUGGAGUCCCGUAAAACAAGAUCACCGCUGGAGUAACCUGAAAACCAGAUCAAGUAUAAAGCGAUGCUGUUCCGGUUACCAGAGAAAUGUUAUAUAACUACACAUAUGGAGAGGGAGUGUGGGAUAGUGUCUGCUCUCUGGUCGGAACUCCGUGAGACACUGAAACUUUGACAAACAUCGGAGCGGUUCGACUUCUUAACAACAUCCAGGAUUCAACCCAACCGAGAACUUCAUGAUUUGUCCACUCCAAAUACCUCUACAAUUGUCUUGCAGCUGUGUGGUCACACUAAAUUAUCAAUUGUAUAAAACUGGUGUCAAUAAAAUAUGAUUUUAACAUAAA